AUAACAUGAGGUAGUAGGUUAUGCAGUUUGGCGACAAUAUUUCGUUGCAAAGGAGAUAACUGUGUAACUUGCUGGCUCUUUUAU
rnacentral:pre_miRNA from 10 species